UGGGCUGCGGGGCCGCGGGCGCGGCCGUGGUAGGGGCCGAGGGAGAGGCCGCGGGGCCCGUGGAGGCAAAGCGGAGGAUAAAGAAUGGAUUCCUGUCACCAAACUUGGUCGCCUGGUCAAGGAUAUGAAGAUCAAGUCUCUGGAGGAGAUCUAUCUCUUUUCCCUUCCCAUCAAGGAGUCAGAGAUCAUUGAUUUCUUCUUGGGGUCUUCUCUGAAAGAUGAGGUGUUGAAGAUCAUGCCUGUCCA